rnacentral:misc_RNA from 1 species
GAUGAAGAACGCAGCGAAAUGCGAUAAGUAAUGCGAAUUGCAGAAUUCAGUGAGUCAUCGAAUCUUUGAACGCACAUUGCGCCCUGUGGUAUUCCGCAGGGCAUGCCUGUUCGAGCGUCAUUUCAACCCUCAAGCUCUGCUUGGUGUUGGGCCCUGCCCGCUGCGGCCGGCCCUAAAGACAGUGGCGGUGCCGCCUGGCCCUGAGCGUAGUACAUCUCUCGCUCCAGUGCCCGGUGGUAGCCUGCCAGAACCCCAACUCUCGUGGUGGACCUCGGAUCAGGUAGGGAUACCCGCUGAACUUAAGCAUAUCAAUAAGCGGAGGA